AUGAGAGGGUAAGUUUCCCGCCUUGAUUCAAAAAACAACCCUUGCUCCCCAACCCUUCAAUAAUGACAGACAGAAUGGCGAACAUCGAGGUUUUGUAAAUGUUUGAUCGCGUUAGCAAUAUUACUCAAUUACUUUCGAUUUCUGACUGGAGUUAUGACAAUAUAAAACCGGGAUUCAGGAUGAAUUUCACACCGUUCGGUGGUCAUUUCCCCACAGCCAUCCCCACGAUUCACCAAUUCGCGGCAAAGUUUUCUCAAGAAAACAAUUCCGCAUCUCUGUGCCCAACUCAGGAGAACAACAGCAAUAGAUACACAGCUAAUGGGGUACCUUCGUUCACUCAACAUCACCCCCCGACUCAACAACAAAUGAUCAACACCACUAAAUAUCAACCUAAUUACAUGAACCAAUCGAUUUACCACCAAAACAACGUUCGUCAAGAGAAACGACAGGGUUAUGAGCACCAAGAGUUGGCUCAGGAAUUAUGUGCCGCUAUGUUAAAUCCACAGCCAGACAAACAAGAUAAAAGUAAACAGGAAACUCAGGAGAACAAUCGUCAACCGCACCAACAACAACAAAUCCAAACGAAUCAACAACAACCAGCGACUUCGAUGCCCUCGACAUGGCAAUCCCUGGCGACUCCGGGCUCGACCGUCGCCGACUACUUGUCCCACUUGCCGGCAUCCACGCUGCCUUUAAGUCUGCACCACUUCCUCAAAUAUUCCGCCGAAACAAUCAAGAAGGAAAGUGCCCAACAGGAGCCCAACCCCAACAUCCUGCCCCCACAACCAACUUCGAAUAAUCUGCCCAACACUGCUCAAACCCCGAAGAAGAAAAAGAAGAAAAAACCGGAGAAGGAGAAGAAGCCGAGGCCCAAACCCGGCGAAAUCCGCUUGACGACAGCUCUGGACGGCUCGACGCUCUAUUGUUGUCCCGAGUGCCACAUGGCGUAUCCCGAGAAGGAGCUCCUGGAGCAGCAUUUGGUGGGGCACACUCUCGAGCGCAGAUUCGUGUGUGAUAUUUGCGGGGCCGGCUUGAAACGCAAAGACCACUUGACGAGACACAAGCAGUCGCACAACCCCGAGCGGCCCUACGUGUGCACCGUGUGUCUCAAAGCCUUCAAGCGGAAGGAGCAGUUGACUCUGCAUUUUGUUAUACAUUCGGGGGAGAAGAGGCAUAUUUGUACCGAGUGUGGCAAGGGGUUUUACCGGAAGGAUCAUCUGAGGAAGCACACAAGGUCGCACAUUGCGAGGAGAGUUAAGGCUGAGCUCUCGCAACAAGGCAAUUCGCAAACGCUGCAACUGCAAAUGGCAGCUCCGGCGACUAGUAAUACAGUCAGUCAAGGUGAAAAGUGCGAACGAGCCCGCUAGGAGAUACAUGACUCCGGUGACCAAAACGGCGCUUAUCUGGUGCUGGAAAACGCCGAAUGCGCCCACGAGAGCGGCACUUCCCAGGACUAUCAAGCAGACCAAGGCGCAAGAUAUUGAUAAAUUCUGCAUUCCUGAAAUUAUGAUUAAUAAAAUAAAUUAAAUUUGAAACGGGUUUGGGGGUUUACUGUGUUGCCAGUCGCCGCGUGGCUCGUAACCUUUGAUACCGUCGAUUCCGCCGGAGAGGUAGUUUACGCAGGGUUGAACCGAUGGAAAUCCCACACGACCCAACAAUGAUAUUUCUUCCUCUGGAAAGAACAAUUUAUCACAUUGCAAAGAUGAAAUACUGCGAUUUUUAUCCAUAACACCACUGAGAGACGGCCAGUACAUUCAUCACAAUUUUAUAUUCCUAGUAAUGUGAAAAAAAUUGUGAAUAAAAAUAUGUACUCGUAUUUUCCUGAGCGAGGUGCAACGAUUUUGUUUGCCAUCUAUUAUGGUUGGGAUAGUCUUGAACCCUCGCUACUAAAUAAAUAUUUGAUAUCGAUUAGAACAAGUCUUGUCACGUGACAGAAAUGUUUAUAGAAUGAUGUCGAUAACUAAAACUGCUUUUUUUAAAGAUGAUUAUUAUUACAAUAAUAAAUAAAACACUGAGCUGAAAGUGUUUCGUGGUUAUACUAUUAUAUUCUUUAACCAAUUGUUUCAAUUCAUGGCAAAAUGCCAGUUAUAAAAACAUUCAUAAGUUAUCUUGAAAGUCUUUUAGUCUGAAGCCAUGUUUUGAAGGGUCAAAGCCCUGUAUUUAGACUGCAUAAAUAGAGCAAACUAUUUGUUUAUGAGCUAAAUUAGAUUGAAUAUUAUCAAAAGUCUUGAUUAAAAACUAGAAAAAAAUGGAAUUUGUUUGUGUAAGUAGAGUAAAAAAGUCAGUAAUUUACUUAGUUAGGUUUUUAAUUGACAAAAACAUUUGUCUGGUCAGAAAUAAAAAAAAAACAGAUUUCUGUCUUCCUUCGUAUCCAUUUCAUUCGCACUGACAGCAGCAAUGAUAUUUCUGGCAAAUCCCACGGGAUCAAAGAAAAUAUUCCCGUUUCUUGUUUACACUUUUGGAAGCAUACGAUUUCAUAGCAGUGGUUGCUUUAUCAUUAUUUCAAGAGGUGAAUUUUUGAUGCCGCGUAUAAAAUGUUUCGUGAAUUGUCUCGAAAAGCUGAUUUCAGCAACGUUUUAAUCUUAGUCUUUGUGAAUUAUUUCAUCAAAUGCGGAAAGUAGAAGAUCGUAAAUUUUAACACGUAAAAGUCGAGGUUUACAGAUUUGAAUUACAGUCCGGUCGCGUUUGCAAAAGUAAUUAUUUAGGGAUUCAGGAAAGAUUUAUUUACGUUUUUUGACCGGUAUAGGGGAGUUUUAGCCGUAACCAACAAGAUAUAUCGAAUAAUAAAUUGUAGAUUUUGUGAUGACCUACAGUUUAACAUAAGUUGGUGGAAACGUACCGAAGGAGGAAAGAUGGUAAUCCGAUUAAAUCAUCUUGUGGUGUAAAUCCUGCGAACUUUCUAGUUAGUCCUGAUGGAAUUAAGUGAUUUAGUUGCGAACUUCUAGUUGCAACAUAAAUCUUCAGUUAUUAAGGAUACAUACUUUGUAUUGAUUUUUUUUAAGUUGCAUCAGUUUGUUAGCGGGGUAGGAUUAAAAAAAAAAACACGAAUAUAUAAUUAUAAUAGGAGCUUUACAAGGUUAUUUAUCAUUUUCUGUUUGCUUUUAGAAAGUUCAGGAAUAAUAAUAAUUAAUUGGUUUUGGAUCUAUCUUGUUUUGUAACCACGGUUGAGAAUGAGGACGUGUGUACAGAACAUUUUUUUACAAGGGACGGUGGUUUUCAACGUAAUUUCACAUAAAUAUUUUAUUAACGAAAUUCACAAAGGUUACGUGUUUGAAAUACAAGGUUGUUGAUUUCAUAUUAUUGAUGAAUUUGUUAUGUCGUCAGAAACAUCAAUAUAUUGAUUUAAUCUGUGCUUCUAUGACUUUUUUUUGUACAGAUUUUUUAAUAUGUGGGCCAACUAGAAUUGGAUCUAUGCUUGAAGCGUUGAGCUUAAAAUAUUAUUCGUGAUUUCAUCAACAGCUCGGUUAUUUCCUUUAAUUACGCCUCAUAAAUCCCCCACGCGAAAAUUCUAUCUGCUGUUGUGGCAAACCAGCCUUUCAGUCUGUGAUUAAUUUUUGUAUUGAAAUCAGCGACCGCAUGAUUGAUGUUUUAUUGAUUAAUAAUAAAGAAGGUUCUUACCGGUUAAGCUCACACAGAGUGUCCAAAUACCCCCGUGCAUCGGCACCAGAAAGGCCACUAUUUUGUCUCUUUCGUCAUUGGUGGAAACUCUGGCAACGACCCCAUCUAAAAGCCAUCGCAGUCUGACCGAACUAUUGGCUAAAUGUUCCAAAGCUGUGCGGUCCCACGUUACCUCUUCCCAAUGAUCGGUCAUAAUGGCCGCACACAACAUCCCCGUGGCACAAGUUGUCAAUAGUAGUGUCCCCAAGAGGAAAAACACGCUCGGGUGGACGCUGCAGUUCCAUCCCGAAUCGUCUUCGGGAUUAUUAGGCCUCUGAAAGUUUUUUAAUUUGAUUUUGAAAACUUUUAGGAAAGUUAUAACGAAAUGUCGCGAUGUCAGCUGAACAUUUCUUUUUUUACAAUUUUUUAUUUUGGGUAGAACAUGCUCUAUAGUUUAAUGACUGGUAUUAAAUUGAAUGUAAAUUUUAUUCAUCUCCCAACCUUUUAAAAGUAUUGAUCGCUUGGGAAAGUAGAUUAUUGUCUGCAUAUUUUUGAAUUCAUUUUUAAAUUUUGCAUGUUUAUUACCAUUUGUACUGACUGAAGAAAUAAUUAUUUUAAAUGUUAUUCUUGCAAAAGGGUGAAAAGGGGUUUAAUCGAACAGUUUGUUUUUUAGAGAACCGAUGCAUAAAAUUGGGAAUAGAUAGGGAAUAGCAAAAAUGGUCAAAAUUUUAGUCUGAAAACUUUGUAGAUUUUGUAAUAUACCUCCUUCAUGAUAAAUAUGCUUUAUAACUGUCACAACUGUGAACUUUUUAAGUUUUAAAUUUGAAAGACAAGCAAUUAUUUUAGACAACUUAACUUGUGUUAAAAUCAUAAAAAAUUGUUAUGUUAUCUAUUUCCGACUCUUUUUCUAAUUUAUUAAGGGAAACUCACCCAACCCGGUUCCUCAGUUUCAGUAUUCUCCAUCAAAGUGUCGCAAUCGACUAUGAGGAGAUCGUAUUCUUGUUGGUGCUUCAGUUUGAUGGCGUCCUUGACGAACUGGAAGAAGUAUUUUAAGGAUUGAAUGGUUGAUGUUUGUUGCGAAAGAGGGUUAUAAAGUAUUGGAAGUUUAUCUGUUUUAUUAGGUCCAGAAGUGGCGAUGAUCCUUAUUUUUUUUUUUCACGUUAUUGACGAACUUGUGGGCGAAAUCGAUUUGUAUAGUUCUUCGUUUGGAGGCAUGUCAAGGUCUAAACGACUCAAAUGGGUUCUAGGACGCCACGAUGUAUGUCACCUGGAAAUGCCGAGUGGUACAAAUUUUGGUUCGGGUUCACAAAAUUUAUUUUUUACAAUUGAGGAGCAGACUUUCAAAAUGCAGUUUGUCCAUGUUUUUAUGAAUUGAGAUAAAGAAAGAUAAAAGAAGGACAGUUUUUGUUCUCUCCUGAAAAAAUGCAAAUUUGGACAACCUGCUUUUUGAAAGUCUGCUUCUCAAUUGUAUUAUUAAGCAGUUAAUAGAAAAUGACGUAGUUUUCAAGGUACAUUUCCGUCAACAGGGUUGUAAAAUUGACUAUUAAUCUCCCUAGUCAUAUAAUUUUUAAUGAAUUCAAUCAUCUAUUUUUGUCGUCUCAACUAAUGGGUUUGGGAUUAAUUAAAUAUUAUAACGAGUACCUAUAACAAUUAGUUUCACUUCGGUUUUUGAUAACGUUUUGUUCUCUAUUUAAAUCACUAACUCUUUGUAUUAUAAAAAUCGUUAUACUUAUAGAUUUUCGUUUCGCGAUGAAGUAAGAGAAAAUUUACAAUAUUUCCACCUGAAGGGUAAUCAAUCAUGGAUGAUGGAGGAUGUUUAUCUAUUAAAAAUCUAGAAUAUAAAUCAGCAUUUACUAAAAUAAUUUUUUUAUAACAUGAAUUACUAACGAAAUGAGUUGUUACAUUUGCGGAAUUAUAGGAAAUGCCAAAGUGCUACAAUUAAAUUAUGAAUGUAUUGCUGACAAGGGGUAACAAGUUGCUUCUGAAGUCUUUUAAAGGGAUUAAGUUUUCUUUGGGUUGCGUCCAAUAAGAUUUUUGGAGCGGAAUAUUAAAACUGCUGACAGUAAAAGCACUCCUUUAUUGCUGCAGUUUGUUGAAAUAAUUUGAAUAUUUUCAGAUGUUGGUGUAGAAUAUUUCAACCUAUUACAUUAAGUAUAUCGAGCUCUUAAAUUUAGAUUACUUCCACCCCGCACCAUUUAAUUAAGUAUUAAUUGAAAUUUAUGUUCUAAGGAGAAUAUUAUACGAGCUUUGCGGGCUUCCUAUGAACUUUGAAGUUCAAGUCAAAUAUUAAUUUCAUUCAACCCCGUAACAAUCCGCGACAGCUAGAUUCUAAUUUUAUCCACGGUUUUUACGAUAGUAUUUUUGAAGCGGCGAUACAUUUCUUGAGUUUUUCUAACAUACGAUGAGCGGGAAACCAAGAGCAUUUGCAUGUAACUUAUUUUCCCAAGGGUGUACAACUUCAUUUCCGGUAAUGCAAAAUUACGAGGUUUCGCACCCGACUGAAAAACAAUCUGUUUUUGCGGUCGAAAAUCCAUAAAUUUUCUUUCAACGGAAAAUUGAUUCAGAAUAAAAUCAUCUUACCUAGUGGAACGUGAUUCGAAUUUGAUUACAAUCCCAAUAAUACAAAUAUAAAAUAAUUAUUUUUUACGAAAGACACAGUUAAUUUGAAUUAAUUGACUUGGAAUUUUCGGUUCACAGUUUGAGCGUCAUGUUCGAAUAAAUUCUAUAAAUUGUGCGUCUCACGCAACACGAUUUUUCACAUUUCUCAUUGCAAUCCUAGGCAAAGGCCAAAGCACUACUG